rnacentral:rRNA from 1 species
UACGUAGGUGACAAGCGUUGUCCGGAUUUACUGGGCGUAAAGCGCACGUAGGCGGGUCCUUAAGUCAGGGGUGAAAUCCCGGAGCUCAACUCCGGAACUGCCUUUGAUACUGGGGAUCUUGAGUCCGGAAGAGGUGAGUGGAACUCCGAGUGUAGAGGUGAAAUUCGUAGAUAUUCGGAAGAACACCAGUGGCGAAGGCGACUUACUGGACACAUAUUGACGCUGAGGUGCGAAAGCGUGGGGAGCAAACAGG